AGGCAUAAAUUAAAUGCUUUGCAGCCUUUUCCUUCCCUUAAAUUUGAUAUCUUUGGUGUAGGGGCUGCAUAAGUAACAGUU